CCCUUAGACGUUCUGGGCCGCACGCGCGCUACACUGACGAAGGCAACGAGCUUUCCUUUACCGAAAGGUACGGGUAAUCUUUUGAAACUUCGUCGUGCUGGGGAUAGAUCCUUGCAAUUAUUGAUCUUAAACGAGGAAUUCCUAGUAAGCGCAAGUCAUCAACUUGCGUUGAUUACGUCCCUGCCCUUUGUACACACCGCCCGUCGCUACUACCGAUUGAAUGGUUUAGUGAGGCCUUCGGGUCCGCGACUCGUUUUGUGGAGAAGUUGGACAAACUCAGUCAUUUAGAGGAAGUAAAAGUCGUAACA
rnacentral:rRNA from 1 species